rnacentral:rRNA from 1 species
AACGAACGCUGGCGGCAUGCCUAACACAUGCAAGUCGAACGAGACCUUCGGGUCUAGUGGCGCACGGGUGCGUAACGCGUGGGAACCUGCCCAAAGGUGCGGAAUAACUCAGGGAAACUUGAGCUAAUACCGCAUGAUGCCGAAAGGCCAAAGAUUUAUCGCCUUUGGAUGGGCCCGCGUCGGAUUAGCUUGUUGGUGGGGUAAUGGCCCACCAAGGCGACGAUCCGUAGCUGGUUUGAGAGGAUGAUCAGCCACACUGGGACUGAGACACGGCCCAG